ensembl:miRNA Gm44337 predicted gene, 44337
UUCAUUUGAAAUAACUCUUCAUCGCUUCUCGGCCUUUUGGCUAAGAUCAAGUGUGAAAUAACUCUUCAUUACAAGUGACCUUGUCUUCACGUGCAACCCAGUGACACCCCUGAA